rnacentral:lncRNA from 1 species
GAGCUAAAGGAGCCACCAGCAGUGGGGAGAGUCAAGGAGUGAGAGAAGGACUGUGUGCCAGGGGAGUUCGGACUCUCAUUCCAACCACAGACACAUGGUGUCCUCAGACGAGCGCAUGUCUGACUGUGCAGAGGAAAGGCUACCAUGGCUCCUGUUGUACGGUGUGCAGUUGUCUCCUCUCCCCAGCCAGCCUUUCAGCUCACUGGCUCAGAAUGAGCAGAAAGAAACCUCAAAGCCCUGUGGGCACCUAUGAUAAAGGAGCUGGCCCCCCAGAAAGAGGGAAGUGUGGGGCGGUGGGUGGCUGCCGGGGCAGAGGAGUUUAGCUCCAUUUGCACGAGGGAUAUGGUCUCAACCCUACAUAAUCCUCACUUCCAGGUCUGGUGGGCCUGGUGAGCGUGACACACAAUACGCAAGUUCACAUGGAACAUUUACUGAAAACUCAGAGCCAACCAGUACCACAAAUGGGAAAUUUAAAUUACAGGCUGAGCACCUACAAUGCUCCAAAUCCAGAACUCUGACCAUCAACCUGAGGCUCGAAAACCUU